AGUAUUCUAGGAAUGAGAUAACAGAAUUUGAUCUGUAUAAGGCUUCACCUAACUAUCACAAUGAAACAGAACAAGAUGUCCAGAUUGGGAAUACAUCGCUUCAUAUUCACCAUGCUGUCAACAAGGUUAUGGACAAUAAAACAGGAUCUGUAGUUUAUUCUGAGGAAAUCAUUACGUCCAUCAGAGAAGAAGAGUACAAAAGAAAUCACGAGUGCAUCUUUGAUGAGGACUGUGGAAAAGGAAAUUACUGCUCAUCUGCCAUCAUGACAUCCAGAUGUUUGCCUUGCAGAACACAGGAAAUG